UAUCUCUCCGUACGGGGAAGGAUGAGAAGCUUCGAAUAAGGUUCGAUUCGAGCGAAAGCGAGA
rnacentral:sRNA from 2 species